AAUGACAGCAAGCAGACAGCGAAGCCCAUGAAGUUGUGAAGUCUGAGCAGCGGCAGAUUCGGACUCCUCGGCUUUUUAUUUUCGCUCCACCACGCUGGGUGUCCGGAGAACCUCGCAGGUUACUCUUGUAAAAUCACCGGUUUAUGUCUAAUGCUGGAGUCCGACGAGCCAGAGUCCACACAUACACAUGAUGCAGAUACGGUUACAGCCACAGGGCAAGAUGUUGAGGCAGCGGGAGUAAACUGGGGAAAACCUACGUCCUUCACACAAGGAGCAGCCUGGACGUGAACCCCCGACUCAUCAACUAAGAGACUACGGCACUGCCACUGUGACACUGAGCACCUAAUUCAUUGAUUAUUAACAAAACAUUAAUGAUUGCCUUUAAAAAUGAUUGUGGAAAAGAUACCUUCUAUUUGAGUGCUGCUUUAGUUAAUACAGUGCAUCUAUGGACCAAUCCUCCCAGGCUACUCCUUAAACUCUCCCAAAUGUCAGUAGUACUUCAAGUUCACAUUCACUCAAGUUGCUUUUCUGUGUGUUCUCUCAUUGUCUGAAAGUAAAAACGUCACUUAGGAACAUGGUCAAAUUUAUAGGAUGACUACAGCCCUGACCAAGCAAAAAGUGUGUACAUGGUCAUACAUUUCAGUAACAAAACAUUUUUGUAUUAAAAUUCAUUUUUUAUUGGUCUUAUGUAAUAUUGUAAUUUUCUGAGAUACUGAAUUUUGGGUUUUCAUUAGCUAUAAUCAGCAAAAUCAAAAGAAAUAAAAGCUUGAAAUAUAUCACUAUGUGUGUAAUGAAUCUAUAUAGGAGUUCCACUAUU